rnacentral:lncRNA from 12 species
UUAACAACACCCUCCCAGUGGCCCCUCUGUUCCCACCAUGUCCCUUCGGUGUCUUUGUUCUCCCGGCUCCGGAAAGCACGCCUGACAGUGUUAACCCCCGAUGGCAGAGUGCAGGACAUCAAAGAGGCCGCGAGAGAGGGCCCCUGGAAACAGGAAACCUUGGGGAACCUUCUGCAGAGAGGCCAGCCAGGGAGGCACAGAGAGGUCAAGUGACUAGCUCAGCGCACCGCAGGCUUGUGGCCAGAAACUCUCAGUCAUGAAGAAUUAGAGAAAGCAGCAAGGAAGGAAUGUGAGACAUACAGAGAAAGUAGAAAAAAGGAGCGUGGCUCCUUUUUCAUGAACUGGUUUCCCCUCCAAAUAAUGGCCGAGUCCCCCCACUCCCCCUUGCUUCAUGAACACUCUCCAGUUCUUUGCCCUUGAGUUAAAAAAAAAAAAAAAAAAAUCCAACUACUUUGCCUCUUUGCCUCUGCCUGGAGGAAGUGAUACCAAAACAGUCUUUAAGAAGCAGUAGGGGUCAUUCAGGAUUAGCGAGAGUCUAGAGGAACAGAGAGGGAAAUCCAGGCAGAAGGGGUGGCAGAGCAAAGGCAGAGAGCCUUGGAGUGUGAGGUGACUAGAGACAGCUCUGUGUUCCUGGGGUGAAGGUUCAGCAGGAGUACAAAGAGAUUUCAGGAGAAAGAGGCAGAGCUCAGAUCUGGAGAUCUUGUUCUCCGUCUAAGAAGCUGCCGGUAGGGAGUCACUGAAGGGUUGUGCACAAAGGAGUAGUAAGUUGAGAUUUGCAAUGUGGCAGGUGGAUUGCAGGCAGUGGGUGUUGGAGUCGGGGAGGCCAAUCAGCGAGCUACUGCGAGAGUCCACUGGGAGGGGGAGAUGAUGGGGAACCACAUUUGAGCAGUAAGAAUUGGGUUAGGAGGGAAGGCAGAGUCAAGGAAUAUUUUGGAAGUCAAAGUAUCAGGACCUAAAAGGAUAGAGACAGAGUGAACAGAACUGAAGUUGAGGCUGACCCCGGGUGUCUGGCUUGGUUGUGGUGAAGGUAAAGCCACUCUCUCUGAAUGGUGCUAUCAGAAGAGACUCAGGGAAAACUGGGCCAGUUGGAGCAUGCUGAGCUUGAGGAUGUGCAGACCAACUCUUAAGGGGUAGUUGAAUAUUCUGCCCUGAGCCCAGU